rnacentral:misc_RNA from 1 species
AACGCACGAGACCUGCGGACCUGCGGAGGGAUCAUUAUUGAAUUUUAUCAAAGAAAAAUGUUGUGCUUUCUCUUGAAAGGGGGAAUAGUGCAAUGUUUUUCUUUUCCAAACAAACGAUCACAACUAACAAGAAAAUUGGUUUGGAAACAAACAAGUGUUUGCCUGAUAAUCAAGAUGAUUUGGAUUGGAGAAAGAAAUACAACUUUUAGCAAUGGAUCUCU